rnacentral:rRNA from 1 species
UGACCUAUCAGCUUUCGACGGUAUGGUAUUGGCUUACCGUGGCAGUGACGGUUAACGGGGGAUUAGGGUUCGAUUCCGGAGAGGGAGCCUGAGAAACGGCUACCACAUCUAAGGAAGGCAGCAGGCGCGCAAAUUACCCAAUUCUAACAGUUUAAGAGAGGUAGUAACAAGAAAUAACAAUACAAGGCAGUUAAAAUGCUUUGUAAUUGGAAUGAUAGAAAUUUAAACCCUUUUUAAAGUAUCAAUUGGAGGGCAAGUCUGGUGCCAGCAGCCGCGGUAAUUCCAGCUCCAAUAGCGUAUAUUAAAAUUGUUGCAGUUAAAAAGCUCGUAGUUGAAGUUCUGCUAAAAGUAACUGGUCUGCUUUUAAUAAAAGUGGUAUCUUGGUGUGUAUUUAGCAAUGAUGUCCUUUGAAGUGUUUUUUACUUUAUUGUAACAAAGCAUAUUCAGGACUUUUACUUUGAGAAAAUUAGAGUGUUUCUAGCAGGCUGACGCUUUGAAUACUGCAGCAUGGAAUAAUAAGAUAGGAUUUUAGUUCUACUUUAUUGGUUUUAAGAACUAAAUUAAUGAUUGAUAGGGACAGUUGGGGGCAUUUGUAUUUAACUGUCAGAGGUGAAAUUCUUAGAUUUG